AAUCGUUAAAACUUUCAACAACGGAUCUCUUGGUUCUGGCAUCGAUGAAGAACGCAGCGAACUGCGAUAAGUAAUGCGAAUUGCAGAAUUCAGCGAGCCAUCGAAUCUUUGAACGCACAUUGCGCCCGCCAGCAUUCUGGCGGGCAUGCCUGUCCGAGCGUCAUUUCCUCCCUCACGCAGCGCGCCUGCGUGGUGUUGGGGCGUUCUGCGGUCAGGCCUGCG
rnacentral:rRNA from 1 species